CCUUAAAGACACACAUGCGUUCAAACAAGAUCUCAUCUCUAGGUUAGGGUAAACUGUUAAGAUUUAAACUUACUCAUUUUACCUUCCACCAUGGGGCUUGCAACCGUCACUUCUGUCUUGAGUAGUUAAAAGAUAGAACGGUCAAAUCAAGCGCCAUGUCUCAUGUUCUUGAUCAACUAUAGCUCUGGAGUUUUUGCAGAUUUUCAAAUAAAACUCAGAGAUUCCUUGUAUGACUCUCUCUAGUAUCUCUUUUAUGGUAUUUCUGGAUCCUUACCAAGGCAAUAAAGGUGUAUGCCUUCUCUCAAAGUAUGUGGUAUUUUUGGUAUGAGGCAUAGUGGCAUUGCCUUCUCUCUCACCCUACUUUAAUAAGGUUUUGAUAUCUGGAGCUCAUAGGUGGGAGACAGCUAAUACAUACUUACAAGACAUUUAUUGCAUAGUCAAACCAUGGAUCUAGAAGAACAAGUCAAUAAGUCAAAUCAAGAUGUGCAUGUGUGGCGAAUGAAUGGUGUAUGGUGAUGAUGGUGAUAAUGGUGAAAGUCUAAUUCUACUUAUGCUCUUUUGAGGGGAUACAUACCUUUCUUGCACUUUUGAAACUUUUUGAGGAGAAUAAGAUGCUCUAUAUUUUCUUUUACUUUUCUCUCAGGUGGGUAUCUUGUACCCCUAAUUCUACUGUCGGACACUUGUCCAUUUUUACCUCUCGUCUCACUUUUUCUUUUCUUUCGAGGUUCCAGGCACUUGCCCCUUUUUAUUUCCUCACAUUCUUUCUUUUUCUCUUUCUUUUUUUAGAGCACUCAUCUCCUGAAAUAAUAUAGCAAGUGGUAGUAACCAAGAUAACUUGAGCAUUUUUUUCACAGGGAAAAACGGAAAUAGGAGAAUGUUUUUGGCUAUUCUCUCCUAGAUUAGGAGUAGAAUAUUUUUGGGUGGUUCUAGAGAUGGAAAUGGAUGGAUAUAUGUGGAUGGUACUUCUGGAGUAAAAGUAGCAUGUGUGAGUGAACGUGCAAGUGAAUCUUGAUUUAACCACAUGACAAGCUCCUAAGGGUCUACACAGCUUGACCACACUCAAUGCUCAUAAACAGUAAAAAGUAAAUGUGUGGUUCAUAGUCUAACAAGCAUGUAUAUAUGGCUGUGGUAGGAAUUAAAACUCUCAUCAUACAGGAACUCAUCAUGCAACAUUUUAAAGAUUUUCAAAGAUAAAAAUUCUCCAGAAUUCUAGCAUCUCUAGGAAUAGAUAACAACAGCUCAACCUUCCCAUAUCAUAUCCAUUAACGACUUAGACUUCAGAUCAAGUACUCUUCCCACAAGUUCAGGUUUAGAACAAAUCUUAAUUAAUAACAGUUAGGCCUAAACUUGAGAGAGAUUUCAAUUUUGAGAACUAGUCAUGGUAGAGCAACUAUUCAUCAUUUCCAUGUGAGAGCUUAUCAUGAGGGUUCAUAGCAAACUUUAUUUAUUUAUUUAUUUAGCAAACUAAGCAAAGAUAUAUAUAAGCACAAAAUCUUUAUUUGGGUUUUUAUGAUUAUGCAUCUUUUUAUUAUUAGAGUAAAGUAUAAACAUGAGUAGAAUACUUAGCUGGAUAAAUAGGGGUGCUCUCCCCCAAGCUGGAUUUUGAUGUAAUUUCUUCUGAUGUAGCUAGCAGGUAGCAGAGGUGUAUUUGAAUGUCGGCAGCACCCUGACAGCGAGUAGGAUGUCCUCCGUCUGCUAGUCUUCUUUGAUCCUUGAAUUCUGUGGAGCUCAAAUAGACAACAAAGCUUUGUGGAACUGGUUAAGUGUUAGCAUAAAUACCUAGCCUUUAUCAUGUUGAGCCUCCUCAAUAAAUGUUACACUCUUUAGUAGGAUCAUAAAUUUAUUUUUAUAAUUUUAUUUUUAUAGGACAGGAAUAUAUUUAUUUCAUUUUUACACCACCACAGUGAAUGUACUUAUGGGUUUUAUGCCAUGAGCAUACUCACAUGGGGCUUACUAUUUUCAAAAUUUUUAUUUUCUUUUCAAGAUGAUAUGAACGUGAUUAACUAACCAAACUAUUUUAAAUAAUUGAAAGGAAAAAGAUAACUACCAAGUUUACCUUUUGGCAAGACGUUCGGUGUUUUUAAGUCCUCCAAACGGGACUCUCCGUUUUCUCAGUUGUCCUGGGAUUCGCUGGAUGGCAUAGUCGGUGGUUCCGGCGGCGCCUCCUCUUCAUGUAUAACUAUCUUCUCUCUCCACACCUAACUCGGUGCUACGGUCUCCUCAGGACAGUUCUGUUCAAGUUGUAUGUCUUCAGACCUCACAACUUCUCCUUCGUAGUCUGUCCAUCCGUCCUUAAUGAUUUGCCUCCUCUAGUUGCGGUUGCGUCAUCCUCUUCUUGUCCUGACCUGCUUAGAGUCUUCAACUAUAUGGUUAGGGUCAGUAAAAUAGUGGCGUACCUUCUCUGAGGGGAAGUGCAUGUGGACUUCUCUGGUUCCAAUGUAUAUGAUUGCUUUAAUGGUGCUAAAGAACGGUCUUCCAAGGAUGAUGGGUGGAUCGUACUCGUCUUCUCCCAUGUCAAUAACCUUCAAUCUUUCAGAAUGUCUGAUCUGCCAUCUGGAGCUGAAUGUAUGUUGGUUGUAGGGACAUGGUUCCAUGCAGGAGCUGAGAAGUGACUGCGGCCAUUAUGUUGACGUUAGAUCCGGUGUCGUAGAGUGUCUUCUGAAAAGAAUAUCCGCUGAUUGUGCACUCGAUGCUUGGAACACCAGGGUCGUCCUUCUUGAUCAAGAAAGGCGACUUGAAUUGACGAUCUUGACCUUCUUGAACUGCAGUGACCACCUUAGCUGAUGUUGAUAUUUGGUAACGCAAUUAGAAAAUGAUCCGCAAGCGCACGGAUAUCGGUGAGCAUUUCACCCGGGAGGUUAUCCAGAGUUAUCGUAUUUAUAUUUUUACCACUGGGAGAAAGGGUGCAUCUGACUAACCAAAUCUAUUGCUACUAUCCCUUUAGGCUACAAAGAAUGUCUCUCGAUGUGAGUGAUGUAUAGAGAAGACUGCAACCGUAGUCUCGUUCUAACCUUGGUAAGGAUGAUCUAUUGUUCUAUUGGGGAGGCUCACGGAAUCUAGACAACACAAAGGAUGUUCGACCCGCACCUAUAAACCUACCCGUCCUGCUAACGAGAAGUGAUCUACAAAGGUAACUCGAAAAUGUCACGUUCCUCGCUACUACCACGGUCCAGCUAGUCAGGGGAUAUCUAUGAGUACCCUAGCCUAAACACCACGUUUACGCUAGCAAGUGAUUACUCUAAUACUCAACCGGAAGAGGAUUAAAGUAAACUCAUAAACCAAAGAACAAUAAAACAAGAACUUACUAGAAUUAGAAGUCGAAUUACUAAAGAAUCUUAGAAGCAAGCCUCGGGUUAGAAGACUUGAUCCCGUAGGUACAACUCGGAGUAGACACCGACAGGCCGGCCUUCCUCCGAUCCACACCUCCACUCUAUCUCUCUCAAUCUAGUAGAAACUAGAAGAUCUAUUUCUACUUUACAUUGGAUGCUAAGCCUAAAAAGAAAUAUUAUUUAGAGAAGAGGUUUUCCUUCGAGAGCACCCCUCAAUCUCUAUGAUAAUUUCUUGUCUCCUCCAGGGGCCAGAGGGGGUCUCCUUAUAUAGUCCUCCCCUUCUAUGCGUUUUUGGGUCGAUAGGCGAGGUGGUACUAUGUUAUUCUGGAUCCAAUAGGUCGGUGGAACGUCAUGUGUGAAGAGAGUCCGGAACGGAGUCCAGAGGGGGGCGGGCGCCCAGGUCCUCAGGGCGGGCGCCCUGGGCCUGGCCCCUUUCGGGCUCCGCUUCCUUCCCGUGGCUUCUGGAGUCUUCUAGAUGGUAGAAAAUUGCACGGUGGGUUGAUAUCUCUAUGUAAUCCCGACAUGUGGGCCUUUCUUCCUUAUUUCCUGAUAACCCCCUGCAGAAAUAGACAAACACCAAAACUCGUGGAAUUCUGUCAGAUAAAACCCUAAGUCUAGAUGUUGAUUUCAUUUGGAUCCUUUUCUUUGUUUAUUUGAUAAGUAAAUUUGAUACUUAAGGACCGUCAACAAACUCCCCCAAGCUUACCUCUUGCUCGUCCCUGAGCAAGGAUAGACUCAGCUAUGGAUCAUAAAUUGUUGCAAUAUUUUUAAAAAUUGAUGUACACAUGCUUUUUAAAUAAGAUCUCAUCUCUGAGUUAGAGUAAACUGUCAAGACUUAAAACUUACUUACUUUACCUUUACCAUGGGACUUGUAACUGUCACUUCUGUCUUGAGUGGUUAAAAGAUAGAACAGUCUAGCCAAGUGCCAUGUCUCUUAUUCUUGAUCAGCUAUAGCUCUGGGGUUUUUGCAGAUUUUCAAAUAAAACUCAGAAAUUCCUUGUAUGAUACUCUCAGGUCUCUCUUUUGUGGUAUUUUUGGAUCCUUACCAAGGCAGUGAUGGUAUAUGCCUUCUCUCAAAAUAUGUAGUAUUUGUGGUAUGAAGCAUAGUGACAUUGUCUUCUCUCUCACCCUACUCUAAUAAGGCUUUAAUAUCUGGAGCUCAUAGGUGGGAGAUAAAGUAUACAUACUUACAAGACAUUUAUUGCAUAGUCAAACCAUGGAUCCAAAGAAACAAAUCAAUAAGCCAAAUCAAGAUGUGCAUGUGUGGCGAAUGAAUGGUGUAUGGUGAUGAUGGUGAUAACAAUGGUGGUGGAAGUCUAAUUCUACUUUGCUCUUUGAGGGGAUACAUACCUUCCUUGCUUUUGAAACUUUAUGAGGAGAAUGAGAUGCUCUUCUUUUUCUUUUCUUUCGAGGUUCCGAGCACUUGCUCCUUUUUAUUUCCUCGUAUAUUAUUUUUUUUCUCUUUUUUUUUCUUCUUUUUUUUUCUCUUUUUUUGCUAGAGCACUCAUCUCCUGAAAUAAUGUAGCAAGUGGUAGUAACCAAAAUAACUGGAGCAUUUAUUUCACAGGGAAUAACAGGGAUAGGAAAAUGUUUUUGGCUAUUCUCUCCUGGAUUAGGAGUAGAAUAAUUUUGGGUAAAACUGGAGAUAGAAAUGAGUGGAUAUAUGUGGAUGGUACUUCCGGAGUAGAAGUAGCAUGUAUGAGUAAUCGUGCAAGUGAAUCUUGAUUUAACCACAUGACAAGCUCCUAAGGGUCUACACAGCUUGACCACACUCAAUGCUCAUAAGCAGUAAAUAGUAAAUGUGUGGCUCAAGGUCUAGCAAGCAUGUAUAUAUGGCUGUGGUAGGAAUUUAAACUCUCAUCAUACAGGAACUCAUCAUGCAACAUUUUAAAGAUUUUUAAAGAUAAAAUUCUCCAGAAUUCUAGCAUCUCUAGGAACAGAUAAACAGCAGCUCAACCUUCCCAUAUCGUAUCCGUUAACAACUUAGACUUCAGAUCAAGUUUUCAUCCCACAAGUUUAGGUCUAGAGCAAGACUUAAAUUAUAACAGUUAUAUCUAAACUUGAGAGAGAACUUCAAAUUUGCAAAUUAGGCAGAGCAACUAUUCAUCAUAUCCAUGCUUAAGUUUGAUUAGAUACAGAUUAGCAUAGCCACUUUAUUUAUUUAUUAAACACACUAAGCAAAAUAUAUAUAAGCAUAAAAUCUUUAUUUGGUUUUUUAUAGUUAUGUGUAUUUAUAUUCUAAUAUAGUAUAAGUAUAAAGAUAGAUAGAAAUACUUAUCGAGAUAAAUGGGGGUGCUCUCCCCCAAGCUGAAUUUUGACGUAAUUUCUCUUGAUGUAGCUAGCAGGUGGCAGAGGUGUGUUUGAAAGUCAGCAGUAUUUUGACAGUGAUUAGAAUGUCCUCCGUCUACUAGUCUUCUUGAUUCUUAAAUUCUGUGGAGCUUAAAUAGACAACAAAGCUUGUGGAACUGAUUAAGCGUUAGCAUAAAUAUCUAGCCUUUAUCAUGUUGAGACUCCUUAAUAAAUAUUACUCCCUGUUUUUAUAUUUUUGUUUUUAUAAAGCAGAAAAAUAUUUAUUUUAUUUUUAUGCCACCACAGUGAAUGUACCUAUGGGUUUUAUGCCAUGAGCAUACUCACAUGGGGCUUAAUAUUUUUUUAACAUUUUUAUUUUCUUUUCGAGAUAGCAUGAACCUGAUUAACUAAGCAAACUAUAAUUGAAUAAUUGAAAGGAAAAGGAUAACUACCAAGUUUACCUCUUGGCAAGGCGUUUGGUGUUUUUAAGUCCUCCGAACGGGACUCUCCGUUUUCUCAGUCGUCCUGGGAUUUGCUAGGUGGCGUAGUCGGUGGUUUCGGCGGCGCCUCUUCUUCGUGUAUAACUAUCUUCUCUCUCCACACCUGACUCGGUGCUACGGUCUCCUCGGGAUAGUUGUAUUCAAGCUGUAUGUCUUCAGUCCUUAUCACUUCUCCUUCGUAGUCUACCCAUCCGUCCUUGAUGAUUUGCCUCCUCUAGUUGCGGUUGCGUUGUCUUCUUCUUGUCCUGACCUGCUUAGAAUCUUCAACUAUAUAAUCAUUAAAGUAGUGGCGUACCUUCUCAGAGAGGAAGUGCAUGUGGACUUCUCCGGUUCCAAUAUAGAUAAUGGCUUUGAUAGUGCUGAGGAACGGUCUUCCAAGGAUGGUGGAUGUAUCAUACUCAUCUUCUCCUAUGUCAAUGACCUGAAAAUUGUUUGAAGCUGAAUGUAUCUUGGUUGUAGGGGCAUGGUUCCAUGCAGGAGCUGAUAAGUGACUGCGGCCAUUAUGUUGUCGUCAGAUCCGGUGUCGUAGAGUGUCUUCUAAAAAGAGUAUCCAUUGUUUGUGCAUUCGAUUCUUGGAACACCAGGGUCGUCCUUCUUGAUCAAGAAAGGUGACUUGAGUCGACGAUCUUGACCUCCUUGAGCUGCAGUGACCAUCUUAGCUGACUUAGUCCACAUUUGCUUGUUCCUGUUCCUCCUGUUGGUCCUCUUCCUUGGUUCAUGUCAGGAUUGCUCUAAAGUUUGUGUAGUCUUGUUCUUGAAGGAAAGUUUCCUUCUUCCCUCUGAUGUAGAGACUGAUCUUGGCAGCAUUAGCGUAGAUGACAGCUCUGGUGUUUAGGAAUGGCCUCCCUAAGAUGAUGGGUGCCCUCUCCUCACUACCAGUCUCUAUCACCAUGAAGUUUGCUGGAGUGUACAUGGUACCAACUCGGACACAGAGGUUCUUCAAUAUUUCUUUUGGGAAACUAAGUGUCUGAUCUCCAUUGUGUUUGUGCUUGUAGAUCCCGGUUCUUCACUUGAUGGAAUCUGGGAGUUGUAGAACGCCUUCACGUUUCUCAAAAUGUGUCCUGCUCAUAGAGACAAGGCAGAGAUCAAGUGCAUGGGCCCUGUUGGUGGAAAACACCAACAGAACCAAAAGUGUAUUUGUUCUUCUCUAACCUUAAGCAUAGUGAGCAAGACAAAGUUGAUGGAUCAUGAGUGUAGCAUUUAAAACAUUUGUUAGAUCAGAUGGCUCAACCUAAUGGAAAGAUAAUCUAUCUAUAUUUAUGUUUUGUUUAUAUCUUCCAAAGAUUGAAUGUGCAAUACUUUAGCUUAUAUGAUUAGGAGUGUGGGAUCACGAAGGU
rnacentral:lncRNA from 1 species